rnacentral:lncRNA from 1 species
GCAGAAGAAGGCAGCUUUGGGUCGAUAUUGCUGCCUGAAACAGUCACGGUGAAAGACUGCUUCUCGUUCACCGACUUCAUAAACAGGACAUCAGGUGAAACCUUGACACUGAGCUUAGUCCCGUGAUUUAAGACAAUCUGCGAUUUGUAUGUAGAGUUGGGGGUACCGACGUUGGUGACGGUUCGGUUGAAACUGAUGGUGAAGGAGCUAUUAGUUUUCGAAAGUUUAGCCGACAUUGAAGGAUAGUUGAGGUUUCUUGGUAAGGUGUUUCCAGUGCAAGUGACAGCUUCACCGGUAAUGAGUUUAAGGGUUUUGGAAGUGUAGUUCAAGCCGCAGAGAAAGGUGAUGUGGUCUGCUUUGUCCAGUUCAUAGACAAGUCCAGGAUUUAGAGCAGCUAUUGGGUCGACAUGGCCAGCUCCAUAAGCAAACUCGGUUGAUGCAACCCCAGUGUCAGAAGCAUUCAUCGACCAAGCUGCAAAUGUUAAUUAAGAGACACUGAUAAUAACUAAUAAGUCCUAUAAUAAAUUUUCCUUGUAAAUAUUCAUUUUUGAUGUAAUUUUUAAAAUAUGGUAAUGUAAUAUAUAUAUAUAUAUAUAUAUCACAUUAGUAAGAAUUAAAUUAGAUAUAAUUACAAAUAUAAAAAUCACAUCAAGUUAUAUAUUUUAUUUUUGUAUAAAUGUUUAUAUUUUAUCAAAAUUAAUUGUAAAUAUGUACCAAUACCAAAUUAAAGCCGUACUAGUCAAAUUGUUUUGUUGAUAAUUAAAUGAUUGCAAUUUUAUUAAAAUUUCUUGUUUAUUAGUUUAAUUAGAGAAUAUACCUUAUAAUUAAUAUUUUCUCAUUUUGUUGGGUCCUAAAAUCUUAUAAAAAUGGGUUUUAUGUGGGUGUAAGUUUCACUUUCACCGACUGCAAUCCUUCGAGAUUGCAUUAUAUUCUUGUGUUUUUUUGCCAUCUCAAUGAUUUUAUUGAUCACAAAUUACAAAUUGUUUUAUGAAAGACGGACAAGAAUGGAACAAACUCCAAUCUUGAUUUUGUAAGAUAACUGUUUUGGCUAAUUUAUCAGCAACUGUAUUUCCUUGUCGUCGCGUAUGUUGAAAAACCGUGGAAGAUUGCAUUAUAUUCGUUAAGUUUUAGAGGAAUUCUAAAAUAAUUUAAGAAAAUAAAAUUUAAAAAAAAAAAGUAAGAGAGAGGCAAAGAAAAAGGAAGUAAGGACCGGUAUCGAACUUAAUCUUCCAGCUGUCGAGAUGUGAAUGGUUUUGCUUUUUACAAAUUACUAAAAUUUAACUAUCUAUUAAAAAUCUAUUAAAAGAAUAAUAAUUAACAACUGAGAUGGUUGUUUUGGGUUUCUACCCGUUGAGGCUACUCUUGUUGAUUUUUUUUAACGCUGAUUUAUUAGGAUAUUACAAUUAUGAUAUGAGAAAAAUUACAUAAGACAAUUCGACAACUGACAAUAUUAUCUGCCUUAUGAAGACUUAUGUUUAACUGCAUCACCUAAGACGUUCUACAAAGAUCCACGCCAUAGCAGAUUUACUUGCACCAUAUUGAAUAUCUCUUAUAAGCUUUUCUGUCGUGUAGUCUGCAUAAUUGUUUAAUAAAUCGCUCUUUCCGGGAUUUGAAACUUGGAUUUUCUGUAAUCUGCAAGAAAUUAUAUAGUCUGAGAUUCAAACCCCAUACCUGGGUGUAGAAAUUUUUUAAAGCUUAACCAGUAGACUACGGUGCUUCCACAGCUCUUGUUGAUUUUAGACCGUGAAUUUCAGCUAUAUAACUGUGCUUAAGAGUUAAGACAUUAGCUUCGACCAAAAGAGUCAAGACAUUAUUAGCAUAUAUCGGAAGCCAAGAGAUCAGACAUAGAAUCAACGAGAUUACUCAAACAUAAGGAUUAUAUUGAUUUAUUAUAUUAAAUAUUAUCAGAUUGAAUCAGGAAUAUCAGUAUAAACAACAAUGGGGCUUCUAACAUUAUGGGUGCCAUCAGACCAUAUUAAACUUGCAGAAGAAGGCAGGUUUGGGUCGAUAUUGUCGCCUGAAACAGUCACGGUGAAAGACUGCUUCUCGUUCACCGACUUCAUAAACAGGACAUCAGGUGAAACCUUGACACUGAGCUUUGUCCCGUGAUUUAAGACAACCUGCGAUUUGUAUGUAGAGGUUGGGGUACCGACGUUGGUGACGGUUCUGUUGAAACUGAUGGUGAAGGAGCUAUUAGUUUUCGAAAGUUUAGCCGACAUUGAAGGAUAGUUGAGGUUUCUUGGUAAGGUGUUUCCAGUGCAAGUGACAGCUUCACCGGUAAUGAGUUUAAGGGUUUUCGAUGUGUAGUUCAAGCCGCAGAGAAAGGUGAUGUGGUCUGCUUUGUCCAGUUCAUAGACAAGUCCAGGAUUUAGAGCAGCUAUUGGAUCCACAUGUCCAGCUCCAUAAGCGAACUCGGUUGAUGCAAC